rnacentral:rRNA from 1 species
UACGUAGGGUGCGAGCGUUAAUCGGAAUUACUGGGCGUAAAACGUGCGCAGGCGGUGAUGUAAGACCGAUGUGAAAUCCCCGGGCUUUAACCUGGGAACUGCAUUGGUGACUGCAUUGCUGGAGUAUGGCAGAGGGGGGGUGGAAUUCUACGUGUAGCAGUGAAAAUGCGUAGAGAUGUGGAGGAACACCGAUGGCGAAGGCAGCCCCCUGGGCCAAUACUGACGCUCAUGCACGAAAGCGUGGGGGAGCAAACAGG